GGAACGGCCUACACCAAGGAUCAGAUCAGGAGCAGCUACUGACCAGGAAACCUGAGGUGGAGCCCAGUGGCCUCCUGGGGUGGAGAUCAAAGGUAAAAAAGUGUCACCGUGCCAGGUGUGGUGGCGCACACUUGCAAGCCUAAGGCAGAGGAAGGAGGAUCGCAGUGAGUUAGAGGCCAGCCUGGGCUACACAGAUCACGGCCAGCCUGAACUACAAAGGGAGACCCCGUCUCAAAACAAACAAACAACACACAUGUCACCACUUUUAUGAUGUCACUUUAAACUUGAAUAAGCUUAAACCACUUACUGAAAAAAUCCUGCGUAAUUUCAAAUUGAUGUUGACGUUGAAAAGGAUUGCCAGCAAGGACAGCGUCCUGUGGCUGUGAGCAGUACUCUGAAGUGAAUCUAGCCGUGAUUGUGGCUACCUCAUAAACACUUGCCUUUUCCUGUUUAUUAAACUUGUAAAGAAACAUAAUGUUAGAGCCGCUUUAAUUCAUAUGAAAAAUUAAUCCCUU
rnacentral:lncRNA from 1 species